AUGGGGACUGGAGCAUUCCAAGAGGCAUUGUUCCCCAAGUGCUUCCUGAUCGGGAACAAGAACAUAAACAAAGAUGAACAAAUCCUGUAUGUUAGUUUGAUCUUAAUCCCCAUUGCCACCAGGUGAACCCUGGGUAAAGUUGUGGCUGACACCAAACCAGGGGAGUUCCGUGAGUUCGUUUUACGGGGGGCUUCUGCCAUAAGUGUUGGUGGAAGGGGUCUCCCACCAUAUGGGAAGGUUUGUGUCAUGAGAAAAAGCACCUGUUCUCUAGUGGCACAGGAGGUGGAGGAGACGUGGUGCAGAUGCACAAGUCCUUCAAAAACAGGGAAACCCAGGAGCUCCAGGCCAGAGAGCCCAGCAGCUUCGCGUCCAUGAGAUCCACAGCUUGGAGCGGAGAGUGACGAACAGGGCGGAUUCAGCGCAAACAGAUCAAGCAGAGCUGGGGGGCGGCCCAGCUUCUUUCCUGAACCCCAGCGGGGAUCUGGGCCUUGGUUCUCAGAAGGGAAAGUGACACCACAUUGCCCUGCACCAUCCUUGGAUCUCCAUAGUGACACCACGGCAACAAGGCCCAUCCUUGUUCAGAAAUGGGGGGACAUUUCCUACUCACAUCAGUGGCAGCACUGGGACAUGUUAAAAAACACUGGAUU